UCGCCGCCGCCACCACCAUACAAGUAUGAAUCGCCUCCUCCACCACCAUAUAAGUACGAAUCGCCACCGCCACCACCAUACAAGUACGAGUCGCCUCCUCCACCUCCGUACAAGUAUGAAUCGCCUCCUCCCCCACCAUACUACUACAAAUCACCACCACCACCUCCUUACAAGUAUGAAUCUCCCCCUCCACCUCCAUAUUACUACAAAUCUCCACCCCCGCCACCACCUUACUACUACAAAUCACCACCACCACCUUCUCCUGUCUACAAAUAUAAAUCUCCACCACCACCACCUUACAAGUACGAAUCUCCUCCUCCACCUCCAUACUAUUACAAGUCUCCACCACCACCGCCGUAUUACUACAAGUCUCCACCACCACCACCUCCAGUUUACAAAUACAAAUCUCCUCCUCCGCCACCAUAUUACUACAAAUCACCACCUCCUCCAUCACCAGUAUAUUACUACAAAUCUCCUCCUCCACCAGCGUAUUACUACAAAUCUCCCCCACCGCCUGUCUACUAUUACAAAUCCCCGCCACCUCCAGCUUACCACUACCAAUCGCCACCCCCACCAAGUUACAAGCUGGUAGUGGUCACGGGCAAGGUCUAUUGCAACAGAUGCUGGAACACCACAAGCAGAUACCUUCAGGCAUCACCACAUGGGUCUGCUAGGUACAUUCUCAAUUGCAUUGUAUUCGAUAUUGUUCUCCUCACUCAUUUCCUCUUGAUACUGUGUGCAAUAAUGCAGGUGGCAAAGUGAAGAUCACAUGUGGCGAAUCUUACUACUACGGCUACACCAACAAGCAUGGAAUCUUUAGAAUUGAGCUCCCGCACCAAUCCUGGGAAGAAGCAAGCAGCUGCAAGGCCAAGAUUAUCAAGAGCAGCUACAUCAAGUCGUCAUGCAAUGUCAUCACGGACUACAGGUCUGGUGCAACAGGGGCCAAGCUCAAGUUCAAAUCGAAAACAGAGAAGGAGCUCGUCUUGACAGCCGGUCCUUUCAUCUAUGCAACUCCAGAGCCAUCGUCAGUCUGCUUCUACACAUCACCUCCCUAUGAGUACAAGUCACCUCCGCCACCAACACCGGUCUACCAUUACGCCUCUCCGCCACCUCCGGUCUACUACUACAAAUCGCCACCUCCUCCUUCACCGGUUUACUACUACAAAUCCCCUCCUCCUCCUUCGCCGGUCUACUAUUACAAAUCCCCGCCUCCACCACCAUACUAUUACAAGUCCCCACCUCCACCUCCGCCUAAGUAUUACUACAAGUCGCCCCCACCACCGUCUCCAUACUAUUACAAAUCCCCGCCCCCUCCACCGUACUAUUACAAAUCCCCACCACCACCUCCCUACAAAUACGAAUCGCCGCCGCCUCCUCCUUACAAAUACGAGUCCCCACCUCCACCACCUUACUAUUACAAGUCCCCACCACCACCUCCAUACAAAUAUGAAUCCCCGCCACCUCCAGUCUACAAAUAUGAGUCUCCGCCACCCCCAGUUUACAAAUACAAGUCGCCACCACCACCAUACAAGUACGAGUCACCACCACCACCUCCAUACAAGUAUGAAUCCCCGCCACCUCCACCUUAUUACUACAAGUCCCCUCCACCACCACCAUACAAGUACGAGUCGCCACCACCUCCUCCGUACAAGUAUGAAUCUCCACCACCACCAGUUUACAAAUACAAGUCACCUCCGCCGCCACCUUAUUACUACAAAUCCCCACCGCCACCUCCAUACAAGUACGAGUCUCCACCUCCUCCUCCGUACAAGUAUGAAUCUCCACCACCACCACCUUAUUACUACAAAUCCCCCCCGCCACCUCCAUACAAGUACGAGUCACCGCCUCCUCCUCCGUACAAGUAUGAAUCUCCACCACCGCCAGUUUACAAAUACAAGUCACCCCCGCCACCACCUUAUUACUACAAAUCCCCGCCACCACCUCCAUACAAGUACGAGUCUCCACCUCCUCCUCCGUACAAGUAUGAAUCUCCACCACCACCUCCUUAUUACUACAAAUCCCCGCCGCCACCUCCCUACAAGUAUGAAUCCCCGCCACCACCUCCCUACAAAUACGAGUCACCUCCACCACCACCUUACUAUUACAAAUCUCCUCCACCGCCUCCAUACAAGUAUGAGUCGCCACCACCACCAGUCUACAAAUACGAGUCUCCGCCACCCCCAGUUUACAAAUACAAGUCGCCCCCUCCACCUUAUUACUACAAGUCUCCGCCACCCCCGCCAUACAAAUAUGAAUCCCCACCUCCACCUCCCUACAAGUAUGAAUCGCCUCCUCCUCCACCUUACUACUACAAGUCCCCUCCACCACCUCCCUACAAAUAUGAAUCCCCGCCACCACCUCCCUAUAAAUACGAGUCACCACCACCACCACCUUACUAUUACAAAUCUCCUCCACCGCCUCCAUACAAGUAUGAGUCGCCACCACCACCUCCCUACAAAUACGAGUCACCACCACCACCACCUUACAAGUAUGAAUCCCCACCUCCACCUCCGUACAAGUAUGAAUCACCUCCACCGCCUCCAUACAAGUAUGAAUCCCCUCCUCCACCUCCCUACAAAUACGAGUCACCACCCCCACCACCUUAUUACUACAAAUCGCCUCCGCCACCGGAGUAUCAAUCAC
rnacentral:lncRNA from 1 species